GGGUGUUAUGGAAAGAAAAAAAGGGGGUUUUUGCUUUAAGCAAAAAGAAGCUAAAGCUUUUGUCUUUUUGAGUUUUUUUAUUGUUCUCUUCCACUUACUCAAAGAAAGGGAAAGGUGGAAAAGGGGGCAAUGGACAUAUAGCCUUUUAAGAGUGAGCAUUGAAAGGGAGUUAAGUUCAAAAGCAUAGAAACUUACAAGAGUCUACUUGGAGUGUAUGGAGAAGGAAGAAAAAAACAAGAUAAAGGGAAGCAUUCAGGAUAAAAUGAUAUGGAAAACAAGAUGGAAAACGAUAUGGAAAACAAUCUUGGAUCACACCACAGACAGGACAACCACAACAUACACGCAUGGAAUAAACAAAACAAGAGAUGGGAAAACUAAAGAGUAAACAUACCUUGCUUCAAUUGAUCUUUUGCUUCACUAUAAAACACUUUAAGCCUUCCCAAUGAGGUAUCACAAGUUGGUCAACCACUUCAGUACCUGUAUGGAAUUCACAAUAAAAUUUCAACAACAAAAUAAAGACAUAUAAUAGUAGAAUAAAAUAAUAAACAUCAAUAUAUUUGUACAUUGAUUUCAGUGUUGAAGUAAAAUAACAAGGUUGAAUUCAUCAAACAAAGUCAACAAAGCAUGAUUUAGAUGAACAAAGUGAAAAACAAGCAAAACCUUUACAUAAUAGAGUAAAGCAUCAUUAAAAUGAAAGUAAACCAUCAGUAGUCAAUAAAAAAAUGUACACUCAAAGUACAUCAAUACAUGAAUGAGGAUUCCUUGAACCAAACCCUAAUAUGUGAUCAGUGGCUGCAAGAAGACAUCCAAAAAAGUUCGAAAUGUAACAAAAAAGUCUAAAAGCUACAAG
rnacentral:lncRNA from 1 species